rnacentral:rRNA from 1 species
UACGUAGGUGACCAGCGUUGUCCGGAUUUACUGGGCGUAAAGAGCGCGCAGGCGGUCGUUCAAGUCGAGUGUGAAAGCCCCCGGCUCAACUGGGGAGGGUCAUUCGAUACUGAUCGACUGGAAGGCAGGAGAGGGAAGCGGAAUUCCCGGUGUAGUGGUGAAAUGCGCAGAUAUCGGGAAGAACACCCGUGGCUAAGGCGGCUCUCUAGUACGGUACUGACGCUGAGACGCGAAAGCGUGGGGAGCGAACAGG